UUUUAUGAUUUCGUAGUAAGUUAAUUCCGAAGUAAAAUAUGCGUAUUUUUUUUUAUUGAAGGUCAGAAAUUAUUGAUACAACUGCAUCUGUGUCAAAGGAGAAUCAUUGCCCGGAUGAUUUUUUUACAAAGUCCGGAAGUGAAAAAUUUGACUUUUCUACGCCAGAAGUUACAGCUAAUGUUCCUAAGACAAACCAGGCUUUCCUGAGUUCUGAUCUGGACAUUUCAGUUAUUGACUCUGACGUAGAAGGUAGAAAUACAAGCUCUCUUUUGGGGUGAAAAUUUUGUGCAUGAUUUGGCUUUCAUUGAGACGUCUCUGGGUCAGGAAGU